CCUACGGGAGGCUGCAGUGGGGAAUAUUGCACAAUGGGGGAAACCCUGAUGCAGCGCCGCCGCGUGAGUGAAGAAGUAAUUCGUUAUGUAAAGCUCUAUCAGCAGGGAAGAAAAUGACGGUACCUGAGUAAGAAGCCCCGGCUAACUACGUGCCAGCAGCCGCGGUAAGACGUAGGGGGCAAGCGUUAUCCGGAUUUACUGGGUGUAAAGGGAGCGUAGACGGCAGUGCAAGUCUGGAGUGAAAGGCGGGGGCUCAACCCCCGGACUGCUCUGGAAACUGUACGGCUGGAGUGCAGGAGAGGUAAGUGGAAUUCCUAGUGUAGCGGUGAAAUGCGUAGAUAUUAGGAGGAACACCAGUGGCGAAGGCGGCUUACUGGACUGUAACUGACGUUGAGGCUCGAAAGCGUGGGGAGCAAACAGGAUUAGAUACCCCAGUAGUC
rnacentral:rRNA from 1 species